rnacentral:sRNA from 2 species
CAUGGGAGCUGGUAAUGCCCGAAGUCGGUUUUUUCAAACUGCCUAAGGCAGGACUGGUGACUGGGGUGAAGUCGUAACAAGGUAUCCCUACGAGAACGUGGGGAUGGAUCACCUCCUUUCUACGGAGUACAAAACAUCUUCUUGUUCAAAAGAAGUUUUAACCUUUUAAAGAUCAUUAUUUUAUUUAUUAAGUCAUGUAGCUUUUGAUCUUUUAGCUAAUAUCUAGUUUUGAGAGAACAUUCUCUCAAUUGUUCUUUGAAAACUGAAUAGUAGUAAAUUUGAUAUUACAACGACAUCAAAAAUAAAAUUAACAAAUAAUUGUCAAUUUGUUUUGAUUCAUCGAGUAAUCAUUAUGUAAAUAAUAAUGAUUCAUUGAAAUGUCUUAAAAUACACAUCAACAAUAGGUUUUAUAUUGUACUUUUAAAUAAGUAAGAGUUUGUGGUGGAUGCCUUGGGUCUAGAAGUCGAUGAAGGACGUGAUUACCUGCGAUAAGCCUCGUGGAGCCGGAUAUAUGCUUUGAAACGGGGAUUUCCGAAUGGGGAAACCUAACUAGGGUUAUGCCUAGUUGUGAUUAACUGAAUCAAUAGGUUAUGAUCGAGACACCAUGUGAACUGAAACAUCUUAGUAGCAUGAGGAAGAGAAAAUAAAUAAUGAUUCCAUCAGUAGCGGCGAGCGAACGUGGAAUAGCCCAAACCAAUUUUUAUUGGGGUUGUAGGACAGUCUACAUAGAGUUACAAAAUUUAAAUGAUAGCAGAAGCUUUUGGGAAGAAGCGGCAAAGAGGGUGAUACCCCCGUAAGCGAAAUCUUUAAAUCUCUUGACUGUAUCCUGAGUAGGGCGGGGCACGUGAAACCCUGUCUGAAUCUGCCAGGACCACCUGGUAAGGCUAAAUACUAACUAGACACCGAUAGUGAACUA